AAUGAACGCUGGCGGCGUGCUUAACACAUGCAAGUCGAGCGAGAACAUCUCUUCGGAGAUUAGUACAGCGGCGGACGGGUGAGUAAUACGUAGGAACCUGCCCUUUGAUGGGGAAUACCCUUGAGAAAUCGAGAUUAAUACCACAUAAGUCCCUACGGGGAGAAAGGCGGCUUUAAUGCUGUCGUCAGAGGAUGGGCUUACGUGCUAUCAGCUAGUUGGUGGGGUAAAAGCCUACCAAGGCUAUGACGGCUAACCGGCCUGAGAGGGUGUACGGUCACACUGGAACUGAGACACGGUCCAGACUCCUACGGGAGGCAGCAGUGGGGAAUAUUGCGCAAUGGGCGAAAGCCUGACGCAGCGACGCCGCGUGGAGGAUGAAGGUUUUAGGAUCGUAAACUCCUGUUAAGUGGAAAGAAAAGCUUGCCAGUAAUAUGGGCAAGUAAUGACGGUACCACUAAAGAAAGCACCGGCUAACUUCGUGCCAGCAGCCGCGGUAAUACGAGGGGUGCAAGCGUUAUUCGGAUUUACUGGGCGUAAAGGGUGCGUAGACGGUUUACUAAGUCUGUUGUUAAAUACUCUGGCUUAACUGGAGAACAGCAAUGGAAACUAGUAGACUAGAGGUUGGGAGAGAGAAGUGGAAUUCCCGGAGUAGCGGUAAAAUGCGUAGAUCUCGGGAGGAACACCGAUGGCGAAGGCAGCUUCUUGGCCCAUACCUGACGUUGAGGCACGAAAGCGUGGGGAGCAAACAGGAUUAGAUACCCUGGUAGUCCACGCUGUAAACGAUAAUCACUAGACGUUAGUUCAGCCAAGCUGGAUUAGUGUCGUAGCUAACGCGUUAAGUGAUUCGCCUGGGGACUACGAUCGCAAGAUUAAAACUCAAAGGAAUUGACGGGGGUCCGCACAAGCGGUGGAACAUGUGGUUUAAUUCGACAUUACGCGAGAAACCUUACCUGGACUUGACAUGCUCUGAUCGCCAUAGAGAUAUGGUUUUUUAGACUUCGGUUUAAACAGAUGCACAGGUGCUGCAUGGCUGUCGUCAGCUCGUGUCGUGAGAUGUUAGGUUAAGUCCUCUAACGAGCGCAACCCUUGCCAUCAGUUGCUAGCUACUUGUAGCGCACUCUGAUGGGACUGCCUGGGAAACCAGGAGGAAGGUGGGGACGACGUCAAGUCAUCAUGGUCCUUAUGUCCAGGGCUACACACGUGUUACAAUGGUCGGUACAAAGGGUCGCAAUUCCGUAAGGAGGAGCCAAUCCCAGAAAGCCGAUCUAAGUUCGGAUUGAGGUCUGCAACUCGACCUCAUGAAGUUGAAAUCGCUAGUAAUCGCGCAUCAGAACGGCGCGGUGAAUACGUUCUCGGACCUUGUACACACCGCCCGUCACACCACGAGAGCUGUUUGUACCCAAAGUUGCCUAAGCUAACCCGUAAGGGAGGCGGGUACCUAAGGUAUGAGGGGUGAUUGGGGUG
rnacentral:rRNA from 1 species